AGGGCAUGGUGAGGAACUCUCCUUACCAGCUCCUUGUAUCGUUCCCAUGACUCAUAUAAAGAUUCCCCCUCUUGCUGGAAAAAAGUAGUGAUGUCAUUCCUCAUUUU
rnacentral:snoRNA from 1 species